rnacentral:rRNA from 1 species
AUACGGAGGGUCCAAGCGUUAUCCGGAAUCAUUGGGUUUAAAGGGUCCGCAGGCGGUCAAUUAAGUCAGAGGUGAAAGCCCAUCGCUCAACGAUGGAACUGCCUUUGAUACUGGUUGACUUGAGUUAUACGGAAGUAGAUAGAAUAAGUAGUGUAGCGGUGAAAUGCAUAGAUAUUACUUAGAAUACCGAUUGCGAAGGCAGUCUACUACGUAUAUACUGACGCUGAGGGACGAAAGCGUGGGGAGCGAACCGGAUUAGAAACCCCAGUAGUCC